GACGAACGCUGGCGGCGUGCUUAACACAUGCAAGUCGAACGGAAAGGCCCUGCUUUUGUGGGGUGCUCGAGUGGCGAACGGGUGAGUAACACGUGAGUAACCUGCCCUUGACUUUGGGAUAACUUCAGGAAACUGGGGCUAAUACCGGAUAGGAGCCCCUGCUGCAUGGUGGGGGUUGGAAAGUUUCGGCGGUUGGGGAUGGACUCGCGGCUUAUCAGCUUGUUGGUGGGGUAGUGGCUUACCAAGGCUUUGACGGGUAGCCGGCCUGAGAGGGUGACCGGCCACAUUGGGACUGAGAUACGGCCCAGACUCCUACGGGAGGCAGCAGUGGGGAAUAUUGCACAAUGGGCGGAAGCCUGAUGCAGCAACGCCGCGUGCGGGAUGACGGCCUUCGGGUUGUAAACCGCUUUCGCCUGUGACGAAGCGUGAGUGACGGCAAUGGGUAAAGAAGCACCGGCUAACUACGUG
rnacentral:rRNA from 1 species